rnacentral:rRNA from 1 species
UGAAUCAGUGUGUGUGUUAGUGGAAGCGUCUGGAAAGGCGCGCGAUACAGGGUGACAGCCCCGUACACAAAAAUGCACAUGCUGUGAGCUCGAUGAGUAGGGCGGGACACGUGGUAUCCUGUCUGAAUAUGGGGGGACCAUCCUCCAAGGCUAAAUACUCCUGACUGACCGAUAGUGAACCAGUACCGUGAGGGAAAGGCGAAAAGAACCCCGGCGAGGGGAGUGAAAAAGAACCUGAAACCGUGUACGUACAAGCAGUGGGAGCACGCUUAGGCGUGUGACUGCGUACCUUUUGUAUAAUGGGUCAGCGACUUAUAUUCUGUAGCAAGGUUAACCGAAUAGGGGAGCCGAAGGGAAACCGAGUCUUAACUGGGCGUUAAGUUGCAGGGUAUAGACCCGAAACCCGGUGAUCUAGCCAUGGGCAGGUUGAAGGUUGGGUAACACUAACUGGAGGACCGAACCGACUAAUGUUGAAAAAUUAGCGGAUGACUUGUGGCUGGGGGUGAAAGGCCAAUCAAACCGGGAGAUAGCUGGUUCUCCCCGAAAGCUAUUUAGGUAGCGCCUCGUGAAUUCAUCUCCGGGGGUAGAGCACUGUUUCGGCAAGGGGGUCAUCCCGACUUACCAACCCGAUGCAAACUGCGAAUACCGGAGAAUGUUAUCACGGGAGACACACGGCGGGUGCUAACGUCCGUCGUGAAGAGGGAAACAACCCAGACCGCCAGCUAAGGUCCCAAAGUCAUGGUUAAGUGGGAAACGAUGUGGGAAGGCCCAGACAGCCAGGAUGUUGGCUUAGAAGCAGCCAUCAUUUAAAGAAAGCGUAAUAGCUCACUGGUCGAGUCGGCCUGCGCGGAAGAUGUAACGGGGCUAAACCAUGCACCGAAGCUGCGGCAGCGACGCUUAUGCGUUGUUGGGUAGGGGAGCGUUCUGUAAGCCUGUGAAGGUGUGCUGUGAGGCAUGCUGGAGGUAUCAGAAGUGCGAAUGCUGACAUAAGUAACGAUAAAGCGGGUGAAAAGCCCGCUCGCCGGAAGACCAAGGGUUCCUGUCCAACGUUAAUCGGGGCAGGGUGAGUCGACCCCUAAGGCGAGGCCGAAAGGCGUAGUCGAUGGGAAACAGGUUAAUAUUCCUGUACUUGGUGUUACUGCGAAGGGGGGACGGAGAAGGCUAUGUUGGCCGGGCGACGGUUGUCCCGGUUUAAGCGUGUAGGCUGGUUUUCCAGGCAAAUCCGGAAAAUCAAGGCUGAGGCGUGAUGACGAGGCACUACGGUGCUGAAGCAACAAAUGCCCUGCUUCCAGGAAAAGCCUCUAAGCAUCAGGUAACAUCAAAUCGUACCCCAAACCGACACAGGUGGUCAGGUAGAGAAUACCAAGGCGCUUGAGAGAACUCGGGUGAAGGAACUAGGCAAAAUGGUGCCGUAACUUCGGGAGAAGGCACGCUGAUACGUAGGUGAAGUCCCUCGCGGAUGGAGCUGAAAUCAGUCGAAGAUACCAGCUGGCUGCAACUGUUUAUUAAAAACACAGCACUGUGCAAACACGAAAGUGGACGUAUACGGUGUGACGCCUGCCCGGUGCCGGAAGGUUAAUUGAUGGGGUCAGCGCAAGCGAAGCUCUUGAUCGAAGCCCCGGUAAACGGCGGCCGUAACUAUAACGGUCCUAAGGUAGCGAAAUUCCUUGUCGGGUAAGUUCCGACCUGCACGAAUGGCGUAAUGAUGGCCAGGCUGUCUCCACCCGAGACUCAGUGAAAUUGAACUCGCUGUGAAGAUGCAGUGUACCCGCGGCAAGACGGAAAGACCCCGUGAACCUUUACUAUAGCUUGACACUGAACAUUGAGCCUUGAUG